rnacentral:rRNA from 1 species
ACAUGCAAGUCGAACGGCAGCGGGGGCUUCGGCCUGCCGGCGAGUGGCGAACGGGUGAGUAAUGCAUCGGAACGUACCCAGUCAUGGGGGAUAACUACGCGAAAGCGUAGCUAAUACCGCAUACGCCCUGAGGGGGAAAGCGGGGGACCGUAAGGCCUCGCGUGAUUGGAGCGGCUGAUGUCGGAUUAGCUAGUUGGUGGGGUAAAGGCCUACCAAGGCGACGAUCCGUAGCGGGUCUGAGAGGAUGAUCCGCCACACUGGGACUGAGACACGGCUCAGACUCCUACGGGAGGCAGCAGUGGGGAAUUUUGGACAAUGGGCGCAAGCCUGAUCCAGCCAUGCCGCGUGAGUGAAGAAGGCCUU